UGGGGAAUCUUAGACAAUGGGCGCAAGCCUGAUCUAGCCAUGCCGCGUGUGUGAUGAAGGUCUUAGGAUCGUAAAGCACUUUCGCCAGGGAUGAUAAUGACAGUACCUGGUAAAGAAACCCCGGCUAACUCCGUGCCAGCAGCCGCGGUAAUACGGAGGGGGUUAGCGUUGUUCGGAAUUACUGGGCGUAAAGCGUACGUAGGCGGAUCAGAAAGUAGGGGGUGAAAUCCCAGGGCUCAACCCUGGAACUGCCUCCUAAACUCCUGGUCUUGAGUUCGAGAGAGGUGAGUGGAAUUCCAAGUGUAGAGGUGAAAUUCGUAGAUAUUUGGAGGAACACCAGUGGCGAAGGCGGCUCACUGGCUCGAUACUGACGCUGAGGUACGAAAGUGUGGGGAGCAAACAGGAUUAGAUACCCUGGUAGUCCACACCGUAAACGAUGAAUGCCAGUCGUCGGGCAGUAUACUGUUCGGUGACACACCUAACGGAUUAAGCAUUCCGCCUGGGGAGUACGGUCGCAAGAUUA
rnacentral:rRNA from 1 species